UAUUGAUUUAUUUAUAUGUAAAUGAAGUUUCAUUUUGUCUUAUUUAAUUUCAAGUAAAGUUUUGUUGGUGCUUUCAUUUAGUUUAGGUUAGUAUGUCUGGUUACUUAAGUGACUCUAGCCCCUUGGUCGUAGACUGAGGUGUCACAGAUGAAAACCACCCAGUAGCGUUAACAUCUGCCUACUGUAUAGAAUUUAAUGUUGAGCAGAGAAAAGGUCCUCUCUCGCGCCUCCUGGCCUGCUCACACAAUUUAACAUUUUUUUUGUGUUCCUUGAAAAAAUAAAUGUACCACCUUCACCUCCCCUACUUAAUGAUGUCGUGCUCCACAGUAUUAGAAACGCCGUUAAAAAUGCUCAUCCUAGGGUAGGCAAACAACGAACAGAAGACUGCAUGUGUUGUGGUCUAUCGGAGCAUAUUAUGCGAUCCGCUGUCGUGAACAGGUUUGUAUUUGUCUAUGACACAUGACCUUGCACGGGUGUCUAGGGGUAGUUAUUCAGUGUCAAAUCAAGACUUUGGUUAAGAAGGUAUUGUGUGGAUUUGGUAUAGUCAUGCCAUCAGUGUCCAAAAAGAAGCGGAGCUGACAUAAACAUAAAGAUGAUGAUGUAGAAACUUUAUUAAAGCUAUGGAAGAGUGAAAACACAAACAGGGAUGAGCAGACAUUCACCUGGCAAUGAGAGAAGAUUGAAAAGAAAAAAUAUUUCUGUUUGGGCUAUUCGGUGAGAUUGGCGCAAGAAGGCAACUCCUUCACAGCCAACAUAUUCAACAUCAGCUAGGUUCCAAGGGAAUAAAACUAAUGCUACUACCAUUGAUGCACUUAUAGUCCAGCAGUGGGGAAAUAAAUUCUGGGUCAGAUGAGUGGAAACCUCAACCACGAACAAAGAAUUUGUCGAUAAAUGUCUUUGAUUUUCACUGUUUACUUUAGGAGGAAGCUAUGCAUUAAACAUCUAAAAUUGA